UCAAGCUACUAAGGGCAUACGGCGGAUGCCUAGGCGCCAUCAGCCGAUGAAGGACGCGGUAAGCUGCGAAAAGCUACGGGGAACUGCAAGCAAGUAUUGAUCCGUAGAUGUCCGAAUGGGGAAACCCACCUGCCGUCAUGGGCAGGUAUCCGAAAGGAAGGGAACCCGGGGAACUGAAACAUCUAAGUACCCGGAGGAAGAGAAAUCAAACGAGAUGCCCACAGUAGCGGCGAGCGAAGAGGGCAGAGGGCAAACCGGGGAGCUACGGCUCUUCGGGGUUGAGGACUGCAUUUAGUCUUAAUGGUCUAUCCGAACUACCUGGAAAGGUAGGCAACACAGUGUAAAAGCCACGUAGGUUAAAGACCAGAGAGAUGAGCAGUAUCCAGAGUACCACGAGGCACGAGGAAUCUUGUGGGAAGCCGGGGGGACCACCCUCCAACCCUAAACACUGAAUGGCGACCGAUAGCGCAUAGUACCGUGAGGGAAAGGUGAAAAGAACCCCGGGAGGGGAGUGAAAGAGAACCUGAAACCGUAUGUCUACAAGCAGUCGGAGCGAAAGCGACGGCGUGCCUAUUGAAGAAUGAACCAACGAGUUACGUGCACUAGCGAGGUUAAGUGGAAGACACGGAGCCGAAGCGAAAGCGAGUCUUAAGAGGGCGGAUAGUUAGUGUACGUAGACCCGAAACCGCAGUGAUCUACCCAUGUCCAGGUUGAAGCGCAGGUAAAAUUGCGUGGAGGACCGAACCUGUGAGCGUUGAAAAGCUUUAGGAUGAGAUGUGGGUAGAGGUGAAAUUCCAAUCGAACGCGGAGAUAGCUGGUUCUCCCCGAAAUAGCUUUAGGGCUAGCCUCAAGUAGUAAGUAUAGGCGGUAGAGCACUGAUCGGGCUAGGGGCCAUAAAGGUUACCGAACCCUGUCAAACUCCGAAUGGUUAUACUGUAGAGCUUGGGAGUCAGACUACGAGUGAUAAGAUCCGUGGUCAAAAGGGAAACAGCCCAGACCACCAGCUAAGGUCCCCAAUGUCGUACUAAGUGGAAAAGGAUGUGGGGUCUCUAAAACAACCAGGAUGUUGGCUUAGAAGCAGCCACCAUUUAAAGAGUGCGUAAUAGCUCACUGGUCGAGAGACCCUGCGCCGAAGAUUACCGGGGCUAAAGUACGAAACCGAAGCUGUGGCUACGACGUAAGUCGUGGGGUAGGGGAGCGUUCUGUGAGGGCUGAAGUCGUUCUGUAAGGAACGGUGGACUUCACAGAAGUGAGAAUGUUGGUAUGAGUAGCGAAAAGAAUGGUGAGAAUCCAUUCCACCGAAAGCAUAAGGAUUCCUGGGCAACGAUCGUCGUCCCAGGGUAAGUCGGGACCUAAUCCGAGGCAUGGAGCGUAGGAGAUGGACAACUGGCAGAUAUUCCAGUACCGGUAAUGAUUGUUUGAGCGAUGGAGUGACACAGGAGGGCAGGCAGGCAGGAGAUUGGUUGUUCCUGUACAAGCGUGUAGGAUGGGACGCAGGCAAAUCCGCGUCCUGUGAGUCUGAGGCGUGAUGUGGAGGUUCCGGAAACGGAACUGAAGCUGCUGACCCCACACUGUCGAGAAAAGCUUCUAGUUAGAGAAUUACCGCCCGUACCGUAAACCGACACAGGUAUGCGGGGAGAGAAUCCUAAGGUGCGCGGGAGAACCCUCGUUAAGGAACUCGGCAAAAUGUACCCGUAACUUCGGGAUAAGGGUAGCCGCUGUUGUGAAGUCUGCACAGACGGAGCAUGAGGCGGUCGCAGAGAAGAGGCCCAAGCGACUGUUUACCACAAACACAGGUGCCUGCUAAAGAGAAAUCUGACGUAUAGGUGCUGACACCUGCCCAGUGCCGGAAGGUUAAGGAAGGAUGUCCGGAGCAAUCCAAAGCAUUCGACCGAAGCCCCGGUGAACGGCGGCCGUAACUAUAACGGUCCUAAGGUAGCGAAAUUCCUUGUCGGGUAAG
rnacentral:rRNA from 1 species